rnacentral:rRNA from 1 species
CGCCUCCUGUACCCCUUUAGGAGGUCUAGCCUGCCCAGUGACUCUGUUCAACGGCCGCGGUACACUAACCGCGCAAAGGUAGCACAAUCACUUGUCUCUUAAAUCGAGACCUGUAUGAAUGGCAUCACGAGGAUUUAACUGUCUCCCAUCACCAAUCAGUGAAACUAAUCUCCCUGUGAAAAAGCAGGGAUACUUAUACAAGACGAGAAGACCCUAUGGAGCUUUAAACUAAUAACACUUGCACUAUUCCCAUAACCACCCAGCAUGAUGCUUAUACGUUUUCGGUUGGGGCGACCCUGGAGAAAAACCUACCCUCCAUGCUGUUAAAUAUAAGAACCUCAAUUCUACGAAUCAACAUAUUGACACAAUUGACCCAAACAUUUGACCAACGAACCAAGUUACCCUAGGGAUAACAGCGCCAUCCACUUCAAGAGUACAUAUCAACAAGUGGGCUUACGACCUCGAUGUUGGAUCAGGAUUUCCCAGUGGUGCAGCCGCUACUAAAGGUUUGUUUGUUCAACAAUUAAAAUCC